rnacentral:rRNA from 1 species
UACGUAGGUGGCAAGCGUUGUCCGGAUUUACUGGGCGUAAAGGGCUCGUAGGUGGCCAACUAAGUCAGACGUGAAAUCCCUCAGCUUAACUGGGGAACUGCGUCUGAUACUGGAUGGCUUGAGUUUGGGAGAGGGACGCGGAAUUCCAGGUGUAGCGGUGAAAUGCGUAGAUAUCUGGAGGAACACCGGUGGCGAAGGCGGCGUUCUGGACUGUCUCUGACACUGAAGAACGAAAGCCAGGGGAGCAAACGGG